AGUUUGAUCAUGGCUCAGAUUGAACGCUGGCGGCAUGCCUUACACAUGCAAGUCGAACGGCAGCGGGCCUUCGGGUGCCGGCGAGUGGCGAACGGGUGAGUAAUGCAUCGGAACGUGCCAUUGAGUGGGGAUAACGUGGCGAAAGUUACGCUAAUACCGCAUAUUCUGUGAGCAGGAAAGCAGGGGACCGCAAGGCCUUGCGCUCUUUGAGCGGCCGAUGUCAGAUUAGCUAGUUGGUGAGGUAAAGGCUUACCAAGGCGACGAUCUGUAGCGGGGUCUAAGAGGAUGAUCCGCCACACUGGAACUGAGACACGGUCCAGACUCCUACGGGAGGCAGCAGUGGGGAAUUUUGGACAAUGGGCGCAAGCCUGAUCCAGCCAUGCCGCGUGAGUGAAGAAGGCCUUCGGGUUGUAAAGCUCUUUCGGCCGGGAAGAAAUCGCAUGGGUUAAUACCCUGUGUGGAUGACGGUACCGGAAUAAGAAGCACCGGCUAACUACGUG
rnacentral:rRNA from 1 species